ACACGGAGAGAUUAGAUGACCCCUCAACCCUGCUCUGAUGUACUUCUCAUAACCAUGACUCCUACACAGAUUAUUAUCAAUAAAA